rnacentral:miRNA from 1 species
AAGCUUUUGGAUGAACAGAA